rfam:Ictidomys tridecemlineatus contig088877, whole genome shotgun sequence.
GAGGUUGUGGCUCAGUGGUAGAGCACUCGCCUCUCACGUGUGGGACCCUGGGUUUGAUCCUCAGCACCACA